AUGACCUUACAUGAAUAGGAUCUGUUCUAUAGGCUCUUCUCAGCCUCCUAUCAUGGUUUUUGUGAUGGUCUAAUGGCUAUCUGAGGCAGGCAAUUAAGUUUGGCGGAUGACUUGUACCAUGCCUCCUAUCAUGGUGCUUGCAAUGGUCUAAUGGCCGUCCGACGCAGGCAAUUAAGUUUGGUGGAUGACUUGUACCCAUUAGACCAGAGUGUGAUUAACAACACCCAUGGCUUUCAGGUCAUGGUGCCGUAGAUGAUUGUUCUCAGCCUCCUAUCAUGGUGCUUGCAAUGGUCUAAUGGUUGUCUGACAGAUU
rnacentral:snoRNA from 1 species